CGCCACGUAGGUUUGGUAGUUUUUAGGGUCAACAUUUUGGCACGCCCAGUGGGACCCAGUGCUAAAACUACGAAGUUCACAUGAUCUAUCUCGAUCAGGCUUCAUGGGAAGAGUGUCAUCUCUUAUUAAAGAAGCAAAAACAACUUCUCAAGAGAUUGGGAAGAAUUUCUGAAAGGCAAGAGGCCGGGGGGCAAAUUUCCACU
rnacentral:lncRNA from 1 species